GGCCGGGUGGCAGAGCGGUUAUGCAACCGACUGCAGAUCGGUGUAGGUGAGUUCGAUUCUCACCCCGGCCU
rnacentral:tRNA from 1 species